AUGAUGAAGAUUAUGUUGGUGACGUAUGUGCGAGUUAGGACGCUUCCGAGUCAGAAUGCAUGUAUGUUUAAGGCAGAUGACAUGGGUACACCCUAUUGAUGAAGAUUUCUGCUGCAAAUAUAUGAAGACUUGGCUAUGAAGGACAUAUCUGAGUAAAAUGAUGCGCAAUGGAUGUAAGGAUCUUAUUAUUCAGUUUUUGUGUGUUCAGUGAGCAUUGAUAUCUGGGAUCCGUGUGAACGUACAUUCGGUGAUUACGACUUAUGCGUCGGGGUCCCCACACCCCAAUAUGUUGUCCUAUCCUCACGAAAACUUGAAAGUCUCAAUAGGAAUAGAAGGGCCUAUCGUUGAUGCUUUAACAAGGUGUAUAUCGUCACAAAUACAUGUACCAACAAGCAGAGAAUACAAGAUAGAGGCUUAGACUCGCCAAAAGCCACAACAAGAAUAUCUCAAUAC
rnacentral:lncRNA from 1 species